AGGGUUCGAUUCUGGCUCAGGAUGAACGCUGGCGGCGUGCUUAACACAUGCAAGUCGAACGGGAUCUCAGGAGCUUGCUCCUGGGUGAGAGUGGCGAACGGGUGAGUAAUGCGUGACCGACCUGCCCCAUACACCGGAAUAGCUCCUGGAAACGGGUGGUAAUGCCGGAUGCUCCGACUCCUCGCAUGGGGUGUCGGGAAAGAUUAUAUCGGUAUGGGAUGGGGUCGCGUCCUAUCAGGUAGUCGGCGGGGUAACGGCCCACCGAGCCUACGACGGGUAGCCGGCCUGAGAGGGCGACCGGCCACAUUGGGACUGAGAUACGGCCCAGACUCCUACGGGAGGCAGCAGUGGGGAAUAUUGCACAAUGGGCGCAAGCCUGAUGCAGCGACGCCGCGUGCGGGAUGACGGCCUUCGGGUUGUAAACCGCUUUUGAUCGGGAGCAAGCCUUCGGGUGAGUGUACCUUUCGAAUAAGCACCGGCUAACUACGUGCCAGCAGCCGCGGUAAUACGUAGGGUGCAAGCGUUAUCCGGAAUUAUUGGGCGUAAAGGGCUCGUAGGCGGUUCGUCGCGUCCGGUGUGAAAGUCCAUCGCUUAACGGUGGAUCUGCGCCGGGUACGGGCGGGCUGGAGUGCGGUAGGGGAGACUGGAAUUCCCGGUGUAACGGUGGAAUGUGUAGAUAUCGGGAAGAACACCAAUGGCGAAGGCAGGUCUCUGGGCCGUUACUGACGCUGAGGAGCGAAAGCGUGGGGAGCGAACAGGAUUAGAUACCCUGGUAGUCCACGCCGUAAACG
rnacentral:rRNA from 1 species